UUUGCGAUGCGAGCUUAAAUGGAGUCGACGGGCCAUUGGAGCUUGCUCCGAUGACGAGUGGCGGACGGGUGAGUAACGCGUGGGAACAUGCCUAUUAGUUGGGGACAACCUGUGGAAACGCAGGCUAAUACCGAAUAGUUUCUAAGGAAUAAAGGUGGCCUCUACAUGUAAGCUAUCGCUAAUAGAUUGGCCCGCGUUGGAUUAGCUAGUUGGUGGGGUAAAGGCCUACCAAGGCGACGAUCCAUAGCUGGUUUGAGAGGAUGAUCAGCCACACUGGGACUGAGACACGGCCCAGACUCCUACGGGAGGCAGCAGUGGGGAAUAUUGGACAAUGGGCGCAAGCCUGAUCCAGCAAUGCCGCGUGUGUGAAGAAGGCCUGAGGGUUGUAAAGCACUUUCAAUAGUGAAGAAGGGUUUAAAUUUAAUAAAUUUGAACAUUGACGUUAACUAUAGAAGAAGCACCGGCUGACUCUGUGCCAGCAGCCGCGGUAAUACAGAGGGUGCAAGCGUUAAUCGGAAUUACUGGGCGUAAAGCGCGCGUAGGUGGUUUGAUAAGUUGGAUGUGAAAUCCCCGGGCUUAACCUGGGUCGGUCAUUCAAAACUGUCAGACUAAAGUAUGGUAGAGGGUAGUGGAAUUCCCAGUGUAGCGGUGAAAUGCGCAGAUAUUAGGAGGAACACCAGUGGCGAAGGCGACUGCCUGGACUGAUACUGACACUGAGGUGCGAAAGCCUGGGUAGCGAACAGGAUUAUAUACCCUGGUAGUCCACCCCCUAAACGAUGACAACUAGACUUUGGGCUCCUUAAAGAGUUUACUGUCUAACCCCCA
rnacentral:rRNA from 1 species